rnacentral:rRNA from 1 species
AGACAGCAGUAGCCGCGGGAAUACGGAGGGUGCAAGCGUUAAUCGGAAUUACUGGGCGUAAAGCGCACGCAGGCGGUCUGACAAGUCAGAUGUGAAAUCCCCGGGCUUAACCUGGGAACUGCAUUUGAAACUGUCAGGCUGGAGUCUUGUAGAGGGGGGUGGAAUUCCAGGUGUAGCGGUGAAAUGCGUAGAGAUCUGGAGGAAUACCGGUGGCGAAGGCGGCCCCCUGGACAAAGACUGACGCUCAGGUGCGAAAGCGUGGGGAGCAAACAGGAUUAGAUACCCCGGUAGUCCCUGUCUCUUAUAC